rnacentral:rRNA from 1 species
AGUGAACGCUGGCGGUAGGCCUAACACAUGCAAGUCGAACGGCAGCACAGUAAGAGCUUGCUCUUACGGGUGGCGAGUUGCGGACGGGUUAGGAAUACAUCGGAAUCUACUUUUUCGUGGGGGAUAACGUAGGGAAACUUACGCUAAUACCUCAUACGACCUACGGGUGAAAGCAGGGGAUCUUCGGACCUUGCGCGAUUGAAUGAGCCGAUGGCGGAUUAGCUAGUUGGCGGGGUAAAGGCCCACCAAGGCGACGAUCCGUAGCUGGUCUGAGAGGAUGAUCAGCCACACUGGAACUGAGACACGGUCCAGACUCCUACGGGAGGCAGCAGUGGGGAAUAUUGGACAAUGGGCGCAAGCCUGAUCCAGCCAUACCGCGUGGGUGAAGAAGGCCUUCGGGUUGUAAAGCACUUUUGUUGGGAAAGAAAAGCAGCAGGUUAAUAACCCGCUGUUCUGACGGUACCCAAAGAAUAAGCACCGGCUAAAUUAGUG